rnacentral:rRNA from 1 species
UACGGAGGAUCCGAGCGUUAUCCGGAUUUAUUGGGUUUAAAGGGUGCGUAGGUGGUUUGAUAAGUCAGCGGUGAAAGUUUGCAGCUUAACUGUAAAAUGCCGUUGAAACUGUCGGACUUGAGUGUAAAUGAGGUAGGCGGAAUGUGGUGUGUAGCGGUGAAAUGCAUAGAUAUACCACAGAACACCGAUUGCGAAGGCAGCUUACUAAACUGUAACUGACGCUGAGGCACGAAAGCGUGGGUAUCAAACAGG